UUUAGAUGAGCAAACUCACAAAAAAGUAGACAUUUCUAGAAAUCAAAAUUGUUCUUGAGAUUAAAUCAAUGAAAAUUCACAAAAUGAAAAUUGACCGUCUGAUGUGAUCAUUAUUGUGAAACAUGGCUAUGGUAUAAAAUUCAACUUGAUUCAACAAUGUUCGGGGCUCGAUCAAAGCGGUCAACCUUAAUUCAUCUUCACUUAUCACACGAAAACUAUCUUACCUACCUCUUCGUGACCUAGUUUGGUCGAUUCUUCAACACAAUAAAGUCUCACAUAGAUGAGACAUAACCACCCAUGUAAAACUUUGGGGACAUUUACCACCCCAUGAUAAGGCUCUCCUUAGUGAAGCAUAACCAUAAAUAGGGUUGGCCGCUUCGAUCGGGGCCCAAACAUUGGUGAAUUAAAGUGAUUUUUCUACCGUAGCCGUAUUUUACUAUUCCGAUCACAUCCUAUUUCACGAUAUUUUUGAAAAUUUUGCUUUCUCUAUAUAGUUGGUUCAUAAAGUUGUACACUAGCAUAUAACAUACCAAACAAGUUAUACCACAUUAGUAUGCACGUUAUGAUUCCGAUGGCUAAAAUUCACAAAAUGAAAAUUGACCGUCUGAUGUGAUCAUUAUUGUGAAACAUGGCUAUGGUAUAAAAUUCAACUGGAUUCAACAAUGUUUGGGGCUCGAUCAAAGCGGUCAACCCUAAUUCAUCUUCACUUAUCACACGAAAACUAUCUUACCCACCUCUUCGUGACCUAGUUUGGUGGAUUCUUCAAUACAAUAAAGUCUCGCAUAAAUGAGACAUAACCACCCAUGUAAAAAUUUAGGGACGUUUACCACCCGAGGAUAGGGCUCUCCUUAGUGAAGCAUAAACGUAAAUAGUGUUGACCGCUUCAUCGAGGCCCAAACAUUGGCGAAUUAAAGUGAUUUUUCUACCGUAGCCGUAUUUUAUUAUACCGAUCACAUCCUAUUUCACGAGAUUUUUAAAAAUUUUGCUUCCUCUAUAUAGUUGGUUCACAAAAUUGUACACUAGCAUAUAACCUACCAAACAAGUUAUACCACUUUAGUAGGCAC
rnacentral:lncRNA from 1 species